rnacentral:tRNA from 1 species
GCGAUGGUGGUAUAGUGGUGGAUGCAUAGCUGCCUUCCAAGCAGUUGACCCGGGUUCGAUUCCCGGCCAUCGCA